UGUCUUAUAUUGUUUUGUGCCAGUCCCAAGCCAGGUGAGCUUCCCUCAGACAUCUCCCCCUUCCAAACCAGUGUUACAAGUAGACGGGCCCUGGUGGUUCUUACUAUGAUUACAAGGUGCCCUUUAGGAACAACCUUCAGGAAAUUUUGAAAAAUAGAGGUUGAUGAGUUAACAGUACCUGGAAAUUAUACCACACACCUGGUGGCACACAGCGAGGUCGCAGGGAGAGAGAGCAUGGGUGCGAGCCGUCCUGGGGUUCUUCUUUGAUUAGAGUGGAGAGUGGGGACCUGGGGCUUGGGGGGCUUAGGCCUUAUUAGUAUUUAAAACAUAACAGCAGGAAUUUAAAGUGUGGGAAGAGAACAGGCAAGCAGCCCAAAUGGUCAGUUAUUGGAAUCGAUCGCCAUCCUCAGCGCAGGGGAGACAGCUGGCUCUUUAUCAAGGGGUGUCGCUGGCAAUGUGUUAUUUGAGAUAGCUUCCUUAGAAGUGGAUGCCUCUUUGAAGUGGAUGCCUUGGCAAAUAGAGCUUAAAUAAAGCACUUGGAUUACAAAAAAGAGAGAGGGAAAAAAAGCCUGCCGGGGCUUACACUACAUAUGUUAUCUUCUAUUUGUUUUGUUUUGUUUUGAUUCAGCUCAUUUGCCACACAUUUACUAAAUGCCAACUACGCAAUAGCAAUUGCACCAGGAGAAGCACAUGCAAACGCGUUGGUCCUGGGAUCGAGUCCUGAAUGGGGCUCCCCGCAUGGAGCCUGCUUCUCCCUCUGCCUGUGUCUCUGCCUCUCUCUGCGUGUCUCUCAUGAGUGGAAUAAAAUAAAAUCCUAAAAAAAACAAAAAACAAAACAAAAAAACAAGAAAACAACCCAAGAACCAAUUGUUUCUGGACGCUUUGGAGGCUCUAUCUGACGCAAGAGUUUCAUCUAGUAUGUGGAUGAUGACAUAGGGCGAGACACUGACCGUCAGACACAGCAGAGCUCCAUGAACAACGCGUCCAUGAGGAUGAGCCCUAUUUGGUUUCUCCUGCCUGCAGUGGUUUCUGAACUUGUCUGCUGGGGUACGUUCUGGGGAAUGAACAGAGCUGAUAUGGAACAUUCCCCUUCUGCGCUUAAACUGGUAGCCUCCGUGAGGCCAGGACUCCAUCUGUGUGUCUGCAGCACCGAUAGGGCCUGGUGUUGGGGAAGUAUCAUCAAAACUCAAUCUCCUGCUGACCCAGAAAACCUCUCCACCAAGUUGCCUUCUACACAGCAAUGAUUACCGCUGCAGGUGGCUUCCAGGACGAUUUGGCCAUUCAUUCUCAGCUCUUCCUGUCUAGGUGCUGAUGGCCCUCAGGGCUGGAUCUGGGCAGGGUAGAGUUUUCCUCUUAAACCGUGUCCUCAGCCUUCUUGCUGCUGCCUUUUAUGCGUCCACAGCCAGCAUUAUUCUGUGCGCCUCACUGGCCGUGUUGGGUGCACUGCCCGGGGAACCUUUCUGUACUCCUGCUGGUCAGCAACCCCCCUCCGCCCCGAGCCUGCAGUGACCCUGUAUGUCUUCCAUCAUGCAGUCACCCAGGAGCCCAGAAUACAGUCAUCUAUCAAUAAGUGUGAAAUGAACAAAUUCACCAGGAAAAACUUUUAUCUCGUGUCAUGUUUCUUUUCGAUAGCACUUGUCACCAUGACACUGGUCUACGGUGAUACAACCACCUUUCCACUGGCUGAAUUUCUCCACAAGGAGAGGACAUGGGAAGGGUAGAUGCUUUCCCAUGUGCUGAGAAGGGUAGGCUACGAUCUUAGAAAAUGAGGUAGGAUUCUUCUCUGAUAUUAGAGUCUUAAGAGAACAGGAAAUACUGUUGUUGCAUCCAGAGAUUGAAGCGAUGUCGUCAAGGAAGUCCAUCAGGGUCCGCCUGGCCUUUCUAGCCGCCUCCACAAACACCGACGCAGCCCAGAGGGCUCUUCACAGGCUGCCCGAUCCGGAUUCAGUGUUCCAAGACAAGCACACCUCUGACCAUGACCACCCGAGAGAUAGGACAUUCUGUAUGGAAGAGAGGCUAUCUAGCAUAAUAUUCGCUUGCCUAGGGCACCCUUAAUCAUCGACUCCCUCAUCAGACAACAAAGACUCAUGAAUUAAAAAUCUAUUUUUUUUAACCAAAUGACAUUAUUUUUGCCUUUCUGUCUCUGUGAGAAACUUCUAAGAAAUGAAUAUGGCAGUUGAGCCUGUUAUAAAGGCAAAUACUAUAGCUUUGUGAACCAGGGCAUUCUAGCUGAGAAAGAAAGAAAAGAAAAGGAAAGAAAGAAAGAGAGAAAGAUAGGAAGAGAGGAAGAAAGGAAGGAAGGAAGGAAGGAAGGAAGGAAGGAAGGAAGGAAGGAAGGAAGGAAGGAAGGAAGGAAGGAAGGAAGAAAGGAAGAAAGGAAGAAAGGAAGAAGAAAGAAAAGGGAAGGGAAGGGAAGGAUGCAAAGGAGUGUAGAAUAAUGUCAUGUUAAGACACAGACAAGAGGAGCCCCUGGCCUGGACCCCACAUUUUAGAAGCCCUCAUGUCAUAUACAUACAAGCACAGACUUGUCAAAGAGCAGGGUACCCUUAUGUCACUUGAAGCUGGUGCUCAAUGUUGGGACAUCAUGACCCCAAACUGUCAACAUAUGCUUUUACGACUUAACAUUCAUUGCUCAGGCCCCAGACAAAGGCUUUUUCACAUCCUUUGCCCUAAAUUUUCAAAGUCAAAG
rnacentral:lncRNA from 1 species